rnacentral:piRNA from 1 species
AUUGAACAGCAUUGCUCCGUC